AGAGUUUGAUCAUGGCUCAGAACGAACGUUGGCGGCGUGGAUUAGGCAUGCAAGUCGAACGAGGACCAGGGCUGUAGCAAUACAGACCUGGGGAAAGUGGCGAAAGGGGCAGUAAUGCGUGGAUAACCUACCCCCCGGUCGUGGAUAGCCAUUCUAACGGAUGGGUAAUACGCGACGUCGUGACGUUGGGACAUCCCGAUGUCAUGAAAGAUUUAUCGCCGGGGGAGGGGUUCACGUGCUAUUAGCUUGUUGGUGAGGUAACGGCUCACCAAGGCUAAGAUGGCUAGCGGGUGUGAGAGCACGACCCGCGCCACUGGCACUGAGACACUGGCCAGACUCCUACGGGAGGCUGCAGUCGAGGAUCUUCGGCAAUGGGCGCAAGCCUGACCGAGCGACGCCGCGUGCGCGAUGAAGGCCUUCGGGUUGUAAAGCGCUGUCGAGGGGGAGGAAGUCCGUCGUAAGGCGGAUUGACCUAUCCCUGAGAG
rnacentral:rRNA from 1 species